rnacentral:lncRNA from 1 species
ACACACUGCUGCUACUUUAUGUUGGUGUGUGCAGCUGGCGUCUAAAGACUUCCUGCAGGUAGUCUUCCUGCAGCGGCUGCCCACCUGGCCCUGCUGUGCACCCUGUGCCUAUGUGAAGCUUGGAGUCUAGCCUCACGCAGCCCGAGACUCCCAGGCUGCUUCAUCCCCCAUCUGCUGGAGAACCUGUUGCAGCUACAGAAAUCUGAAUCACUUGAGAAGCUUGUGUGAUGGGCCUUGUUGCCUCACAGCUGCCUUUUUCCCGUGCUUCUCUCACCUGGGAUGGAUCAGCCCUUGAGUCUUCUCAUGGCAAAGGUGAAUGAAGCCUGGUUUUUCGCAGUUAUCAUCCUCUGACUUUAUCAUCCCCAAGGAAAUGAUCUAGGAAAGAGUGAGUACUUAAUGAUAAGAAAACUCACCAUGUUUUAUGAUAGAGAAAAGCCCAGACCGCUUUUCGAAGUUGAAUUUGCUACAGAAAAAGCAUGGAAGGAAGAAGAAAUAAGGUACACACAAACCUUGCCUGCUCUGCCCCAGAACUACAGGCCCUGGUGGGGCCUGCUCCCUGUCGCCAGCAAAGUUGCUGAGAGAGCACACGCCAGCCACGGUGGUGAAGUCAUAGAAAUGCUAUGCCCCCACAGGCCACAGGAAUUGUGGAAAGAUUUGUGUAAAUAUCUCAUGCAUUCUUGUGAUCUAAGCUUUAUGGAAAUAAAAACCACAAUCAAAAAGCCAAUGCCACAUUUAUUCCACCUCCUUCCUUUUCUCCUGUAGAAUAAAUUCAUAGAACAGUUUAUGGAGCAGCCAAGAAAAUACGUUAUUUCAAUUUUAUUACCAGGAAGACAUGCACCUAAGUGCUCAGCAAGACUAACCUAAACAGGGUCCAUUUCGGAAGAAGAUGAGCAGAUGCUGCUGGGCAUCCCCUUAGUCAUGAAGACAAGAGUGGCUCUCGCAGAGGCCACCCCACAGCCCCUGUGUCCAGAUGGGCUUGGUAGUUACCAGUACUCAGAGAACUUCCAGCUUCCUUUCCUCUUCUCUCCUUUCUUAACUUUGUGGUGGAUAUUGGAGUUGGGACGUCUCACACACUCAGAGCACAGCUGGGAUGUUCAACUUGCUGAAGCUUCCCUGGCACCAAGUUUAAAGAAACCACCGAGGAGCACAUGGUUUCCCACACAGGCUCCUGGUGGGGCAUGCCCUCACCAGGAUUCCAGCAGCAGACCCCCAGGAGUCCUGGCCUGAGAGUGAGGAGGGGCCCUCUCUGGAGAGGAGCUGUGGACCCAUGCUCACAUCCAUCCUUCCCACUUACCAUAACACAGCAGGGAAGUCAGUGUCAUGAGAACACAUUUCCACCCUAAGUUUUUAAAUGCACCAUGCUAAAAUUUUCUUUGAAUUCUUGCCCCAAUUUUUCUGACUUGUAAUGUGAAACAACAGACUACUUCCUGCUUCUCUCUGCCCUCCUUUUCCCCACUCACAUUCCAGUUAUGUGUGUCACCCAUAUAUUGAAUGGACUUAGGAAAGUGCAAAGCAGGAAACAAUCCAAUUUUAAUUAAUCAAUUGAUGUUUUCUUCAUUGCUCUUGAGGAGAUCUCAGGCAGAAAUCAUAGUUUUCCUAUUUACUUCUAACUAUUCAAAGUCAAGCCUGAAUUAAAUCCUAACUUUG